CUCUCACUUUUCCAAAUAAUUUAACGCCAUCGCUGUUUCCUUUUCCUCUUUCAAUUCAUUCUUCUGCUCGUCAAAAUCAGUCGGCUGCUCCUCUCUUCUCAAGUCCGGUGCCGCUACACUGAAAUUGGAUGAGCCGGCGCUGCCGUAGUUUCUCUAAAUCCGACACAAUCGCCGUUCGUUUCCUCUUCUUCUCUCAAUCACUACAAUUCCAGAGUCCACACACAAAGAAUCGAGCCCUAGUUCAUUAUUCUCUUGAAAACUGUUGCCGUCGCGGCUCCUCUCCGACGAUGUUGUGCCCGCCGUCGGCGUUGCCUCUAGUGUUCUCAAUUACACAUGGAGGAAGGGACGAGCCCUAAUUUCGCCUCAGAAUCGCCGCAGGCCAUCCCCCCUCCCCUUUGAACUCCGGCGAUGUCGCCGUCCUUAGGGCGGUGUCGCUCUGCCUCAUCUCAGAAAACUCUCUCCUCUCAACCUCAAGCACCAAUUCGUACUCACAUACAAAAGAGAACAACAGUCGAGCAAGAAGCAGCCGCUGUCCUCCUCUCAAUUCCGCCAACGUCGCCGCCCAAGGUUGUUCAUGAGACCAUUAAUGUUGGAACAGAGACUGCUGCCGGUGUGUUUUGGAUUGAGAAGAGUUUCACGCUUCCAGGAAAAUUCUUAUACCUGAGUGUGUUUUGGAUUGAGAAGAGUUUCAGGCCUCAAAGCUAGUUAAGGAAAUUGGUUGCAACUGAUCGGUGUAUCAUGGCUAUCUUAUUCCUUAUUGUUGUCGGUGUCAUAGCUAUCAUUAUUGUGAAGGAAGAGGAUCAAGUGUAUACUGGCAUCUAGAGUUUAGUACCCUGUUAGUACAUGAUAUUUUGUCAUGAAUAUUUUCUCUGGAAAAAGUUGGACUUUGAGACUUCCAACUUUAUAUGACUUACAUGUUGAUUUGAGAAUUUAUGGGGGCUGUGAAUCAUAAAUGGUUCAUUGGGGAAGAAUUUAGGACAUAUAGAUAUUGCGAUACUCAUGGAUUUGAUUAAAGACUUAUUUAGUUCUAAAACCAUGUCAAACAAAUUAGUUUGGGGAAUAUUAAAUAAAGCUAGAGAUGGAGAAAAUGUUCUGCAGCCACGCAAACUCUGCCUUGCCACCACAUGACUGCUGCUCAGAACGUCAUGGAACAGGUCACCUUCUUCAUUUUAAUUACUACUUGGUCAACUUAGUAGAUUUCUGAAUAUUGAUUUACUGUGUAUGUUGGCUUCUUUGGCAAUCUAUGGAAAUAUGUAAUAUAAUCUGUGGAUUUCUUAUUCUUGGUCUAGUUAUUUGGCAAUCUAUGGAAAUAUGUAAUAUAAUCUUUGGUGGUAUUUGCUCACAUGAACUUUCAUUGUUUGAUGAUUAGAGUAGUAAGGGCGGAAAUUAUCUUUACUUAGUUGAAUAGUUUUUAUUUAAUUUCUUGAUAGCUUUUCUCCUGGACCACCUUGUGAUGCUUCCUUGCGUAGUUUAAUCCUAUACAAAUUAUGAUGUCCCAAUCAACAAGCUAUGACAUGUUGUUUCUGUUACAAUGAUUUCAUUCUGGUGCAGGUCUGAUGGAACCAAAAUGAUAGUGCAUAUGUUCGACUCUCUUUAUAAUAGAAUUCGUGAUGUUCCUUGAAAAGCUGCUGUUGACAAUGCUAUGAGUAUCUACAAUGCAAACAAAGGAAAGAAAUUCAAGAACUCGGCAAAAUGGGAAAAUAUAAAGGCUCCUAAGCAACUUGGUGGUACGGAAUGUGGAUUUUUUGUGAUGCGCUAUAUGAAAGAAAUAGUGCAAGGAUUCAAACAUUUGUGAAGUUAAUCUUCAUUUAGCAUCAUUUUUAGUUUCUUUACAUGGCACAUAGUAUUAUGUUUUAUUGAUUUUGUUUCAUGGUCAGGUGGCAAUAACAGUCAGCAGGAAGAUAGGAAGCUAGAUGUGGUAUUUUGGUUGGUGUUUUGUAUGUCUUUUGAAUCUGGAAAAAAUGUAAGAAUUUGGUGAAGCAAGUGUUGAACACCAUUUUUUUGUUAAUAUUGUUUGGAUGUAAAUUACAUGACUACUUUAGGUACUUUGGAGCUACAAUGUAUGGAAGUUUAAGUUAUUUUAUAUAUAAUAUGUUUUGGAUUGUAUUA